CAGGAGGGAGUCGGGCUCCAUGGUGUGUGGGCCCCUGGGCCACGGCCCCACCUGAUUUAUGAACCGAGGCCGUCUCCAUGAGCGCCUGAGCUUCUUUUGUAUUCCAUCUGGCGGCUUCUCCAACUAGAUGACUGGGUAUUCCUGCAAGCAGGGCCUCUUUCCAGCCCUCGCCUUCAUACAGCACAUUUAAAGUAGCAGUAACCUCUUUUCCCUCCCCCAGCAGCCUGCCUGGAAACAUUAGAAGGGACCGAGGCGGCGGCGAGAUGUCUAAAAUAGGAAGACGCUGGGGACGGCUGGCCUGGCUGCCCGCGAUGCUGGCUGCGGGGAUCUGGUCCGGCAGUGCAGAUGGAAAAGCUAGGAGACAGGGUCUCAUGUAGCCCCAGGCUGGUGAAGAAUUCAUUUGUGUAGCCAAGGAUGGCCUUGAACUUCUCAUCUCGUGGCUUCCACUCGUCAAGUACUGGACUCAUGUGCCUGGUUUUCCUUUCAGUGCCAGGAUUUCAUGCAUUCUAGAAAGGCCACACCAACAGACCAGCAUGGAGAUUACAGCUAACUCUGUCCUAGGCUUGGCCAAGCAGGAGAUCAUCUGGAUCUAAGGAAGACUCAAUGAUCAGAAAUCUGAGUGCGAGAAGAGGGUCCAGGGGCUGGAAGCAGCUGGCAGUCUAGCAGUGCCACCGUGUGGGAGAGGUGGGCCAGCACGACAGGAAUGGACGUUCCAUUCAGCCCAGCAUACCUUUUCUGCUUGGUACAGGUGAUUGAACCUAAGUACGGUUUGGCUAUAUCCCCAGCCUCCUUUUACUUUACUUUUUGUUUUCUUUAAAAAAAAAUUUUUUUUUUUUUUUUGGAGACAAGGUUUCGUUAGGUUGCCCAGGCUAAACUUGAACUCACUCUGUAGCACAGCCUUGAACUUGAAAUCCUCCUGUUUCAGCCACCUGAGUAGCUGGGGUUCCAAGGACAUUUCAUUAUAUACAGACUUUCAUGAUGCAAUUUUAAUUCACUUCUUCAAGAUGAAAACAUCAUUGGUCUGUAGGUGACUGGCAAUUAAUAAGUAAUACAUAACUAAUGAAAAUAUGUCAAUGACAUGCAUUCUGUAGGAGACAAAAGUGGACAGUGGUUUUUCGUUUUUCUUUUUCAGAAUUAUCACCUCUUAUCCUGCCAAGUUAAACAUGGAUUGCACUUUGUCAAAUAGGCUUCAGAGCUUUUUCUGCUGAAAAUGGUGUGUGUGUGUAUGUGUGUGUGUGUGAUUGUGUGUGUGAUUGUGUUGUAUAUACAAAUGAGACCAUAUUGUGCAUGCGUCAUUCUGAAAUUUGUUUUGCCUUUUAAAUUUGUCUUUGCUAACCAAAGAACAGAGACUAAAGAAUAUUUGGCAUAUUAAAGUCGGUGAAUCAUGUUGAA